rnacentral:rRNA from 1 species
CCCGCACAAGCAGCGGAGCAUGUGGUUUAAUCGACGCAACGCGAAGAACCUUACCUGGGUUUGACAUGGCAGUGUAAGCCGUGGAAAUACGGCCCCUCGCGAGAGCGCUGUCACAGGUGGUGCAUGGCUGUCGUCAGCCCGUGUCGUGAGAUGUUGGGUUAAGUCCCGCAACGAGCGCAACCCCUGUCCUAUGUUGCCAGCGGAUAAUGCCGGGGACUCGUAGGACACUGCCGGUGACAAACCGGAGGAAGGUGGGGAUGACGUCAAGUCAUCAUGCCCCUUAUGUCCAGGGCUACACACGUGCUACAAUGGCCGGUACAGACGGAGGCGAAGCCGCGAGGCGGAGCAAAUCCGAAAAAGCCGGUCUCAGUUCGGAUUGCAGGCUGCAAUUCGCCUGCAUGAAGUCGGAAUCGCUAGUAAUCGCAGGUCAGCAUACUGCGGUGAAUACGUUCCCGGGCCUU